UACGUAGGGUGCGAGCGUUAAUCGGAAUUACUGGGCGUAAAGCGUGCGCAGGCGGUUGUAUAAGUCAGAUGUGAAAUCCCCGGGCUCAACCUGGGAAUGGCAUUUGAGACUGUACGGCUAGAGUGUGUCAGAGGGGGGUAGAAUUCCACGUGUAGCAGUGAAAUGCGUAGAGAUGUGGAGGAACACCGAUGGCGAAGGCAGCCCCCUGGGAUAACACUGACGCUCAUGCACGAAAGCGUGGGGAGCAAACAGG
rnacentral:rRNA from 1 species